rnacentral:lncRNA from 1 species
CAUAAGCCUACGCAUUCCAUCUUGAGAUGCUGGCUGGCUGAUAUCAGAACGUGGACUAGACCCUGACACACUACCAUCUCCUUCCUCCAAGGCUCGCAACUCUGCCUACAAAGAACAUGACCUCCAGUUCAAGGGUAUCUUGUUCCUCUUCCUCCUCACUUUCUCCAGAUUGGACAACACUGCAAAGAUCCUCCUGAGAAGGGUCUUCUAUAUUGUCCAACUUUACAAAUUACUUUUCUUCUCCAUCUCUCUUCUUCUUCUUUUAUUCCCUCAGGCAAUAAAGGAGCAAGCAGCGAUGCUGCCACCCCUUUCUUCUCCUCCUCACUAUUUGAGAGAGCCUGAAUUCCUUCAUUUACUUCCU